AUACCUAAAACAAUGAAAGCCCUACCUCUCUUCCAUCCUUACGGCUCCUUGUCCGUGCCAGUGUGAAUCAGGAUACUAAAAAAAGUGA
rnacentral:sRNA from 10 species